GCGGUCGUAGUAUAAUGGUAUUAUUACUGGCUUCCACCCAGACGACGAGAGUUCGAUUCUCUCCGACCGCACCA
rnacentral:tRNA from 1 species